rnacentral:rRNA from 1 species
AUUGAACGCUGGCGGCAGGCCUAACACAUGCAAGUCGAACGAGUGGCGGACGGGUGAGUAAUGUCUGGGAAACUGCCAGAUGGAGGGGGAUAACUACUGGAAACGGUAGCUAAUACCGCAUACCAUCGGAUGUGCCCAGAUGGGAUUAGCUAGUAGGUGGGGUAACGGCUCACCUAGGCGACGAUCCCUAGCUGGUCUGAGAGGAUGACCAGCCACACUGGAACUGAGACACGGUCCAGACUCCUACGGGAGGCAGCAGUAGGGAAUAUUGCGCAAUGGGCGCAAGCCUGAUGCAGCCAUGCCGCGUGUAUGAAGAAGGCCUUCGGGUUGUAAAGUCCUUUCAGCGGGGAGGCGUUACCCGCAGAAGAAGCCCCGGCUAACUCCGUGCCAGCCGCCGCGGUAAUAC